ACCCUCGAACGGGCAAAAGAAAGAAAGAGGCAGCCACCCUCGCCCCCGCCAAAACAAACAGACAAAAAACUGUCAUUCUCAUAUGACCACGGACUCUGCGCCCCGGCCGCAGGCGGAGGACAGGGAGGAGCGCACACGAGAAAGCUCCCACGCGCCCGCGCCUCGCCUCCGACGGGAAGGCGCCUCUUCCGACCGUCCUGGAUGCAAAUUAAAUACUUCCCUCCGCAGAAGACUUAUCUCGGGGUAGGGCCGCAGCCGGAUUUCCAAAUCGCGGGUUUGAUUUUCGCUGCGUCCUCUCCGCGACGCGCGCAGGGAGCGCGCCCGGCCACCUGCAGCCUCUGGCUGCGGCCAUCUUUCCGCCUGGGGCCACCUGGCCUGCGCCCUUUGUGCCCGGCCCGCUCCGUGACUGUUCUUCUUGCCGCUACUUACAGAACUCAGCCGCCUUAGCGUCUUAGAGAAGAGGACGGCAUGCAUGCGGACCCCGUCCACCACACCUGGAGAGCAGGGAGCCCUUAGUCCCUGGACACUUACCAGGGCCGCCACCCCUGGUCCACGCACGUGAUGACAUCUCACCAGGGGCAGCACACCGCCCGAGUCCGCGACACUGAUAACACCUCCUGCGGGCAGGAGGGCGCCACAGCCACCCCUGGUCCCCUAGAUUGUGUGAGGCUAGCAUUUCUGCCCGCCUCUUGGCGUGGACAGCACGCUGGACCGAGAUGGAACCACAGCUUUCUCUUCCCAAUCCCUGGCCUCACCGUUUUGUUUCAUACCUCACCGUUUGUUUCAAACCUCGUGGUGUUGAAAUGAUUAAAUGAGAUUAAGGGGUGUGUGGUAGUGUUGGGCAAACCACAAGAAAACGGUCUGGGUGGGGUCUGGCCCUAAAAUCUUCCUCCCCCACCUCCCAGGCUUCCUUGCCUUGCUGCUUCCUCUCAGCCUUUAAACAGGUUGGCCUCUCCAAGUCCUAAAAACAAAAUUAUCAAGCCAACCUCCUCCUGAAGUGCUCCCUCCAACUAGCUUCCAAGUGUUUCAUGCGGACCUCAAACAAUGGUCUUCCCUGGCUGCCUCUGCUUCCUCAUUUCUCAACACUUGGCAUUCUGGCUUCUCCUCCCCAACUCUAACCCUUAAAAAAAAAAAAAAAAAA
rnacentral:lncRNA from 1 species